CGUGAGCUGAAACUUAAGCCCAGAUGCAUGUGAUUCCAGAGGCAGGUCUGCUUCAGGGGACCCCCAAUCUAAGACAGAUAUCCCCAAUUUCACAUGAAGAGACUGAGGCAGCUGGAGGCAAAGCAGCUUGUACAAGACCCCACAAGAAGAGGAGGAGUUGCUUUCUUGAACUGCUGUGGUUUUACCCACAGUCACCGGACCGUGCUGCCGCCCUGGUGGGAGGAUGUGUCUGCCUGCACAGGUGGGAAAAUUAAGACCCAGAGAAGGAACUUCCCAGAGAGCUAUCCAGUGAGCCAAGUCAGAGUUAGGAGCAGGAGCCUCAAAUUCCCAGGAAAGCAGCACGGUCCUCGAGUUCCCCCAAAAGCCAGACGGCAUCUUUGACACCUGACUCCCAGGGGCCAGUCCUGGAGAGGACACCUGGCCUGGAGCCAACCUUCCUCUCCUCGCUGCCAAAGCUCUGCUCUCUGGGUUCUGGCACUGUCUGAAAAUUCCUCCGUUGGUCUGCUCUCGGCAGAGCAUAGAUUAUCACUCUUGUGCUAAUUAUUUUUAUGAUUAAAAGAUGAUAAAUUAUUAAACAAAGUCUGAAAAAUG
rnacentral:lncRNA from 10 species